UUCUCAAGGCUCUUCAAAGGACUAAAAGCUAAAAGGAUGGAUUCAUUCGACAAGUCCUAGUCCUGCGCCCUGGUGAGUGCCAGACCCUGCUCCCCGCGAGGGGGACCCACGAGCCACCCUCACCACGAUCCCUGCCCUGGUGGAGCCCCCGUGCGGAACACAGGAUCCGAAGAUGGCAGCGGAAGCUCCGCAGCGGCCCCAAAAGCGACUGGGCAGGGAGGGCACAGGCUCCCUCACUGGGUGAAGGCGGCGCGAAGAACGGGAAGAGCCAUCCCGGGAGCCACCGGGCGUUCAGCCUCCCUAGGGCCCCCAGGCGGCUCGGGCCGGGGUCUCAACCGGGACGUUUCCGGGGGGUUUCUGAAGCAGGCGAGGGGCAGGGCGGGCGAAGGCCAUUCGGCUAUCCUUCUGGCUCCAGAAUCUCCCAACGCGCAGGUGUCCAACGUGACCAGCGCGACUUACCGCUCCAAUCUCUCCGGUUUUCCAAGGCCUUGCUCAGUCGUCCUGCCGGGCGGG
rnacentral:lncRNA from 1 species